rnacentral:rRNA from 1 species
GAUGAACGCUGGCGGCGUGCCUAAUACAUGCAAGUCGAACGAACAGAUGCUGAGCUUGCUCCUCUGACGUUAGCGGCGGACGGGUGUGUAACACGUGGAUAACCUACCUAUAUUACUGGUAUCACUUCGGAAAACCGGCGCUAAUCCCGGAUAAUCUCUUGCACCGCGUGGUUCAAUAGUGAAAUACGGUUUUUCUGUCUCUUAUCGCUGCAUCCCCGCCGCAUUAGCUAGUUGGUAAGGUAACGGCUUACCAAGGCAACGAUGCGUAACCGACCUGCGAGGGUGAUCGGCCACACUGGAACGGAGACACGGUCCAGACUCCUAAGGGAGGCAGCAGUAGGGAAUGGGCCGCAAUGGGCGAAAGCAUGACGGAGUAACGCCGCGUGAGUGAUGAAGGUCUUCGGAUCGUAAAACUCGGUCACGAGGGAAGAACAGAUGUGGAAGUAACUAUGCACGGAGUGACGGUAACGAAUCAGAAAGCCACGGCUAACUACGUG